rnacentral:tRNA from 1 species
GGAGGAGUGGCAGAGUGGUCGAAUGCGGCGGUCUUGAAAACCGUUGAGGCCGCAAGGUCUCCGAGGGUUCGAAUCCUUCCUCCUCCG